GAUGAACGCUGGCGGUGUGCCUAAUACAUGCAAGUCGAGCGAACGGACGAGAAGCUUGCUUCUCUGAUGUUAGCGGCGGACGGGUGAGUAAUACGUGGAUAACCUACCUAUAAGACUGGGAUAACUUCGGGAAACCGGAGCUAAUACCGGAUAAUAUUUUGAACCGCAUGGUUCAAAAGUGAAAGACGGUCUUGCUGUCACUUAUAGAUGGAUCCGCGCUGCAUUAGCUAGUUGGUAAGGUAACGGCUUACCAAGGCAACGAUGCAUAGCCGACCUGAGAGGGUGAUCGGCCACACUGGAACUGAGACACGGUCCAGACUCCUACGGGAGGCAGCAGUAGGGAAUCUUCCGCAAUGGGCGAAAGCCUGACGGAGCAACGCCGCGUGAGUGAUGAAGGUCUUCGGAUCGUAAAGCUCUGUUAUUAGGGAAGAACAUAUGUGUAAGUAACUGUGCACAUCCUGACGGUACCUAAUCAGAAAGCCACGGCUAACUACGUG
rnacentral:rRNA from 1 species